rnacentral:rRNA from 1 species
GAUGAACGCUGGCGGCGUGCCUAAUACAUGCAAGUCGAGCGAACAGACGAGGCGCUUGCUCCGCGGACGUUAGCGGCGGACGGGUGAGUAACACGUGGAUAACCUACCUAUAAGACGGGUAAAACUUCGGGAAACCGGAGCUAAUACCGGAUAAGAUAUUGAACCGCAUGGUUCAAUAGUGAAAGACGGUGUUGGUGUCAGGAAUAGAUGGAUCCGCGCCGCGUUAGCUAGUUGGUCAGUUAACGGCUUACCAAGGCAACGAGGCGUAGGCGACCUGAGAGGGUGAUCGCCCACCCUAGAAGUGAGCCGCGGUCCAGGCUCCUGCGAGAGGCCGCAGUAGCGAAUCUUCCGCAGUGGGCGGAAGCCUGACGGAGCGGCGCCGCGUGUGUUAUAACGGUCUUCGGAUCGUAAAGCUCUCUUAUUGGUGAAAAACCACUUUGUAAGUAACUGUACCCGUAUUGACGGUACCUAGUCAGAAAGCCCCGGCUAACUACGUG